CGCAGGGAAAGUGGCGAAGGGGAAACUCGCCUGCUCCGGGCAGACCGAUCGAGCUCGACAACAGCCAGUUCAACGUGUGCCAACCCUCUUUCGAGAUACUGUCUUCUCGUGUCGAGUAAACCGCGCCGGUAUCCCCGAUUUCCUUCGUCACGAUUCACGUCGGAUCUUCACGUCGAUGACAGAGUUCGAAUCACGGUGAUUUCUUCUCCCGAUACGAUUUUAUACAAGACGUAAUGCUGGUUAUUUUAACGAGACGAGGAAAAGUGUGUAUAUAUAACGUGACGUUUUAGAGUGGUCAGUGGAGUUCGUUAUCGAGUUUGAGCUAGGCUUUUCUCGUGUGACGGGAACGUGGAACGACGAUGAUUAUCGUUUCGCGAUCAACUAAGAAGGAACGCCGUGUCCGAGGAGGAGUUCGUAUGCGACGCGUGGAUGGCUCGUUGCACUCAAGAUCGUUCAAAGUUUCUUGGUUCGUAUAAUUAUAUCAUGUCAUGUAUCUUCAAAGUGCUGUGGAAGGAUAUACUCGUAAGAACGAAUGCUCAACGGACGAGUAGCGGCGCGAUUUUAGAUUUAUUUGGAACGUAUAUUCGGAAUCACGUGGUCGAGUGACGGGAGUAAUGGUCGGCUAACGACUUGCCACUCUUUUGAAGUUUAAGAUUUGAUAGUGAACGUUCGGAUAGGAAAUGUUGAUCGGGAACACCGUAUGUUUAAAGUAGAAGCUAUUUUUGUUUCGUUUUGUAUCCGCGUGCUAGAGACUCGAAACUGUCCACUGAAAUUUAUGAUGCUGUGCGUCGCACAUAUAAACACACACGGGAAGAUGUACUUAGACACGGUGGCAAUGGCUUUUAAAGGGAAUAGGGCGACUCGAUCGUUGACGAGAGGUCGCCUAAACCGGAAAACCGGGAAACGAUUACGAGUGUGUAAAUAGGUAUUGCUCCCUUCGAGGCCAGUUUGCUUUCUCGUCAGAACGAAACUAACAACGCGUUAUCGUCGUACAGCUGAAAGUGCUCGUGUGUACCUUGGCAGCCAGAAGUGAUAACCGCGUUGUUAGCUGCAAAAUAAGCCGCGUGACAAACACACGCUCAACGAUAGCGACGAUAAGAGACGUUCUACAACGAUCAACCACGAGUUUGAUGCACUACGUGGCGGACGUCUCCGAGUUUCCACGAUAACCUUGAUAAACUGAUCCAUAAAUCAACUGAUAACUACAAAAUCGGUGAAACGAGUUCCAAUACUUUCAAAGACAUUUCAGAAUCAUUCGUUCCUUUAUAUUUUCUCUGCGUCGUUCAUUUUAUCGAAAUACCUCCACUAGCAAAAUGAACGAACGCUGCUUUAAAAGAAGUCGAAAGAUCUGAAAUUUACUCCAAUCGAUAUAACCAAGAUUCCAACACGAGCCUCGAUCGCCUAAUACGAUCAACACUUCCAAUUUCCUCCAAAAAUCACGACGCUUUUCCUCCAGUCACGAGCAUAUAAUCGCAGCGUGAAGAGCGCGUGACGCGUGCUGGCUACAUUACAAAGUCCUUCUGCUCCCCACUACCACGCGGUAUUUCUCGCGCAUCCCCUCCACCGACGAUAUUUCACCACCCCUACCAGGAACUCCGGCACAGGGCGAACAAGGACGAGGACGGACGAUCGUUUUCCGCACGAGACCGAGUGGAACGGAACACGUGCCGCGUCGGUGGGGGUGGAGGAGGAGCGAUAAAACUGGAGGGGAAACGUGGUGGCAGAACGACGAUAGGGGAAGUCGAGGACUCCCCACCAGUGGUUACCACUCCCCUUCCACCAACCAGGGGAGCGCGUUCUCUCCCACAUAACGGCGCUAACCGACGGGACCUUUGUUGCCCGCCACGCUCGAACGGUGUCCCGCUCGAGAGUUUGGACGCUGGUGCCGCCCAGCGGUGAUCGCAAGAACUUUCAAAGCGCGAUGGUGGGGACCCCGCGGCUAGUAGUGGGGGAACCGUGGCGAUACGGUGGGGGUAGAACGUAAAGGAAUUGGUGGGGAUGAAUGCAGAGAACGGAGCGAGUACGAGGACGGGGGCAUGUUGCUCUCAGGACGCGCAGAACGUCAGAGUGGGACGAAAAGGACGGGUGUCUCUCGCUUUCUCGCUCUCUGUAUCUCUUUCUCUCUUUCUUCGUUUCUUUCGAUCAUUUGUCUCUCUCGCUCACUCCUCGUGGAGAGGCAGAGAAAGAGAGGCCGAUGGCGGGGUGAGAGCCGGCUUACUACGCGGCGAAACGCUACCACGGCGUUCAGUCGUCAGCGAUCAGACCGCCGGGCAGUGUGAACCUUCCUGGGCAGUCUCUUCAUCUACUACACUCUUCCUCUGCUGUCCCUUCCUGAACAUGAAGCAGUAAUCAGCAUCUGGGAAAGCCGGAGUACAGCUUCCGUGAUCGGAUUUGCCUGAUCCGUUCUACGAUGGUCGUAGACUACCACGAUCUUGAAGAAACAUCACGCGUAAGGGAACCAUUAUAGAAGAAUUUACGCGAGAAAUCGCAUCCAGUGGUGAAAGAGAAGAUACACGAUUGGACACGGCAAACGAAUUGGAGAAGGUUCAAGGAGACAGACUUGGUCUCAGACGAUUCCAACUCUGUCUCUUUGAAUCUACCCUGAUACGAGAUUCGUCGCAACCGGUGACAAGCAAUCGAACAAUCGAAGUCUUCGAGAACGCUCGGCAGUCGUUCGAUAGCCGUACUCGAAGCUAACAGAUGUUCAAGAAGAUCUUACUAAAUAAACGGUUGUCGCGACUGAAAUUACCAGAGACGAUCAUUGUGGGAGCAUGUAAAAUCGCAAAGAAUUCCAGAAGACGUUGGAUAUCGAGAAGUCGCUUCGACAACGCUCGAAGAUGAUACGCAACACUCUGUUCCAAACCGCAAGAUUCUAAAUUCCAGCGGAAGUCAAUGUUCGCAAUGAAGUUUCGUUAUUCGAAAUUUCGACAUUCGGCGAGUGAACCAAAAGAAAAAAGAAACGAAUUAUCACUUCGUAGUGAGAUUGUUGGGAAGACACGUAGGGCUCGUUCGAACGGUUUGUGCUCGGCCUCGCGUCGAGCCACGUGGUGUUCCGAAUCGCGCGAACGAUCUGCGCUUGAUAAUCUUCGGCACGUAUACGUUCACUUUGCGAAACCGCGGCCCGAAAAAAAAAAGGUGAAAACGAUGGCGAAUCGACGAGCACGACGAGCCGUCGCAAUUCCGAAGAUCGGUGAAGCCGUUCGAAAGUAGAAUUUCCUUCGUUGCUCGUCAGAUAUGUGGUACCGUUCGAUUGUUACGUAACGAGCAUCGAAUAACAAAAAACCGUUCACGCAUUGGCGAGUCGUACGGCGAGAUUUUUGCACCGAACCGUUACUCCUAGUGCGGGAUAGUGUAAAUCUGUCGGGGAAGAUCGACCAUGCACCGAGGAAGAAACAUAUGAAAAUGUGUGAUUAAAUUUAAAACAAAGUAAACGGCAAAGCAAAAAUAAUUGAGAAAAAGUGGAAGGAAUAGCAACACGAUGAUUCUUAUCGUCAACGAAAGUAGUUGAAGAGUACGAAGAAAACGUUACGCUUUACGGACGUGUUAGCAGCCGACGGCUCUUUCGCCAACAGAUCGUCACAAAUCACCGUUGAAGAACAAGUGAGGUGUGCUACGCUCGGUUGGAAGUGUGCUUGUUGCUUAGUGGCGGUAUUUGGUAAGGAUCCCCUUCCGUCAAAUUGACGGGAAAAUCGGAAGUGUCGAUUUCGAUCGCAGUGCACGAAUUCACGGUGAUGGUAAUGAAUUUUUUUUUUGACAAUGUCUAUGGUCACAGUGAAGUGGUCCGUGAUUGAUAUUUUCGUUAAACGUUUCGUUCAGUUUGAAAUUUCAGUCGCACAUGUUUAAUAUGAUAUAUAUAUAUAAAUAAUCGAUAUAAUAUUUCAAGUCCUAAGAGUAAAGUAGAAAAAUCAUACGUUUGAUCGACGAAUAUUAAAGAAGUGCUUUCUAACGGCCGGAUUGCGUAAAAUUUGAAAAAAUACCUGGUAUCUACAAAACCGUGAGCGGUCUACGGUUAAAAAGUUUCCCCAUAAAUUCGUCACUGUCAGAGAAAUGAUAUACGCGGACUGAAAUCUCGUCGAAUUAUCUCGUUCCACUUAUCAGGGAAUACUUCCAAACAAACCACGGUCUGGCGGCCACGCCCCGCUCUAAAAAUCUCCCCUUUGAACAAACUACCAAAAAACAGGACGCACAGACACCCGGCUAUCUCGAAAAAAGUCCACUUAUCUCCAUUUACACUGCAUCAACGGAUUCUACAAAAAUCAUUGCUCCACCUCCCGCGGGCAAUAAAAGUAUCUACACUUCCGUUCCAACUACCCCCUAGACACCGUUCUCACCGUCAUCACACGGGAGGUCCCUAAUGACCAACCCAUACUUCUCUCUCUAAACUCUUCCACCAAACGCCCAACGUGUAACAAUAACAAGAAAGAACGAAAAGCAGACAUACAAGAACUAUAAAUCUAAUAUCUUUUCAUUUUCCAAGAUACAUUGAAAUAUUUUCAGUUGUCUAUGUUUUUUACCUUUCGAGUAAUGUUCCAUUAUACAGGCUACUACGAUUUAACGACUGCUGACUGCAUAGUCUUAAUUGAAGGGAGAAAAGGAAAUGCAAGAUAUAAAAAGACCUCGACUCUGUAUAUACCAAGAACAUGUAUAUUUUUGAAAUUAAAAGUCAACAGCGACAAAUCAAUUUCAAAGAUGUAAAACAUCGUAGAAUUUAUUUUCAGCAAAAGUAAAUGAAUCGGUGCGUUAGAAAUGAUCCGAAUAAAGAAAUUACCAUACCUAAUUGUGAGAGAGUUAAGAACCAGAUUAACUGUUCCCGGGUUAACAGGUUUAUUAUGUUUAUGAAAAUAUGAAUUUGCAUAAACAACCGUUCCUUAUCCUUCGAACGCACGAAUUAAUUAUCGAAGCAGGUAUUCCAUAUCUCGAAUCCAUUACCUCUUCUCGUGAUCCCCAGAAAUUCUCGUCCAUUCAGCCCCCCGGCGGUACCACUGGUACCAUUUAAAAAGAAGAAUGUCCUAUAAGAAUACUCUAAAAUGAACGAAAGACAGGCAACAGAGAGGAUACUAAAAAAAGAAACAAAAAAAAAAAGGAAGUGUAAAGAAAAGGGAAGAUGUUUUCGCGCUUUGAGGGGUGGUUGGGAAGGGUCUGUUACGUCACCGAGAGGAGCGAGGCGCCGAAGAAUCCAGCAAGACGAUACGGCCCUGCCCUUCGCCGGGCAGAUAGGGUAUAAUCAUGGCGAGUUUCGUAUCUCGAAGGGGCACACGGGAAGAUGGUCCAACAUCUGCCGCUGCAGGGAAUCUCUGCCCACAUGCUGGCCGUCGUGCACGUACGUACGCACGCACACGCGCAAAAAGUGACAUAGCUACACGCUGGGACGUCAUGUAAAUUCAUUCGAAACACAUGGCAGGGCCGAGGCGGCGUUUUUCUCGUGCGCGCAAAAGGGUUCUUCCACGGUGGAAUCCGAGGAGCGCCGCACGGGGGGCUCCGGGUAAAAAAGGCAGACGAUAACUUCGACUUUUAGACAAGGACCACUCUCACUCUCUCUCUCUCUUUCUCUGUUUCCUUACCUUCUCUUUCGCCUUCUCGACCUCUGUCUCUGUUACGAGGGACCACCGGCUCGAAUGAGUCCACCGGUUAGCCGCUUCUUUUUUAUUUAAUCGCCUCGAUCAUCCAAUGCUCGGGGUGUCCGAUGCUUUGCAAUUUCGGCUUAGCGAAAAUUUAGAGGGUAAAAGCCUCUCUUGAGAUAUGAUUCACCUUGGAGGGUGGUGGCUAUUGGAUUUUGUAUCGGGGUAUUAUUUAUGAGAAACCUGGUAUUGUUCUAAAAAUAUGGCGAGAAACUGUGGAAACUAUUUUUACGAAUUCUGUAGGCAAGUAAUAAAUCAAGGAUAUGUUGGAUUAAAUAGGUCAAAGUUCGAAUCUGAUUUAUAGGAUUGUUUAUAGCGAGUAUGAAAAUACAGCAUUUAAUAGAUGUAACUAAAAUCAAUCGCGCGAAUGCUGUUGAAGGUGUAUUUACGCGAGAAGUAUUUUUGGAACGAUUUCAAACAGAGUACUAAUCAUAAAUAGAUAUGGGAGACGUAUUAAUCGGAAUUAGCGACGAACGUUUUCCCUUUCUGAUUAGAUUUUUAAUGAACAUCGGACGAUCUUCUCUAAUUAACUUACCAUUGAAACUAAGCACACGAUACAAUCAUUAAACCGAACAGUGUGCAAUUACAUGUACAAGUAUUAAGACAAUUAGCUUCAACGAAUUAUACAUCUCGAUAUCAAACUCAUCAUGGAAUAAAAAAUUUCUUAAAAAAUCCACUAGAAAUAAUAAUAAAAUCCAGUAGAAAUCGUAACAGGAUCUAACGAAAGAUCUAAUUGGUCUAUCCAGUGAUUUUCUUUUAACGAGUCUUCGAUCUGAUUGUUCCGCGACGUUAAAAGAAGAAACAAGAGAAACCUAAUAAAAAAAGACCUAAUAAAAAAUAGAAUCACCGAUGUAAAACGCAGAGAAAGGAGCAAGUAAACCAACAAGGAAUAAAAAUACACUGGCUCGAAAUAACAGGGCAUUCGGGUAACGAGUGUUCCUUCGUCUAACGAGGGUUCCGUGGAAAUCGUUAACGGGGUAAUUCUCGCGUUCCGCGGCUAAUUACACGCCGAAACCAUGAAAA